rnacentral:rRNA from 1 species
AUCCAGACUCCUACGGGAGGCAGCAGUGGGGAAUAUUGCACAAUGGGGGGAACCCUGAUGCAGCGACGCCGCGUGGGCGAGGAAGUAUUUCGGUAUGUAAAGCCCUCUCGGCAGGGAAGAAGAAAUGACGGUACCUGAAUAAGAAGCCCCGGCUAACUACGUGCCAGCAGCCGCGGUAAUACGUAGGGGGCAAGCGUUAUCCGGAUUUACUGGGUGUAAAGGGAGCGUAGACGGCAGUGCAAGUCUGGAGUGAAAGGCGGGGGCUCAACCCCCGGACUGCUCUGGAAACUGUACGGCUGGAGUGCAGGAGAGGUAAGUGGAAUUCCUAGUGUAGCGGUGAAAUGCGUAGAUAUUAGGAGGAACACCAGUGGCGAAGGCGUCUUACUGGACCGAAACUGACGUUGAGGCUCGAAAGCGUGGGGAGCAAACAGGAUUAGAUACCCGAGUA